CCUACGGGCGGCUGCAGUGAGGAAUAUUGGUCAAUGGACGAGAGUCUGAACCAGCCAAGUAGCGUGAAGGAGGACUGCCCUAUGGGUUGUAAACUUCUUUUAUAUGGGAAUAAAAUGUUCCACGUGUGGGAUUUUGUAUGUACCAUAUGAAUAAGGAUCGGCUAACUCCGUGCCAACCGCCGCGGUAAUACGGAGGAACCGAGCGUUAUCCGGAUUUUUUGGGUUUAAAGGGAGCGUAGGUGGAUUGUUAAGUCAGUUGUGAAAGUUUGCGGGCCAAACGUAAAAUUGCAGUUGAAACUGGCAGUCUUGAGUAGAGGAGAGGUGGGCGGAAUGCGUGGUGUAGCGGUGAAAUGCUUAGAUAUCACGAAGAACUCCGAUUGCGAAGGCAGCUCACUGGACUGCAACUGACACUGAGGCUCGAAAGUGUGGGUAUCAAACAGGAUUAGAUACCCCUGUAGUC
rnacentral:rRNA from 1 species